ensembl:lncRNA
AGCAGCUAUCCUUUUGCAUUCAGAAGAAAACAGAAUACCUGCAUGCAAAGCCAAUCCCCCCGUAAUAGGACGGCCAUGGUUUCACCUGCACCUGCUGCAAGCAACUCCAGGCUUAGCACAGCUCUGUGCAGCAGGCAGGAGACUCCUGAGAAGGGGCCCCUGGUGGGGGUGGUAGCAAAAGUUCUACCCACAUCAUACCGUUGCAGCACACAAGAGCAGGAUUUAUUACACUACAGAAUCCAGGAACGGCACUGCAUAUUCUCAAGCGCCAUCUACCGGUAUUUUACCUGAGAACUGCUCGUAUGCAUACAAUCACCCUUUAUUUUGAAUUAAGCCCUACAUAAGGAAAAGACAAGGGUGUGAGUGACAUGCCAAAAGAUCCACAGUUACGUGGGAGGGAAGAGAUGCACUGCUUUAGCACUGCAUGUUGGGAAAGGCAUUCAACCUGCACCUGGUCACCUCAACACAUCAGACAUACGCAAAGAUUUAGACUGUAUGUCCGUCAGUGUCGUUCUCGCUCACCUUUGAAGCUUCUGCACUCACUGGAUAACACCUAUGGCAUUCACCAAUUAGGAGAGACAAUGAAGUCACCAUAUGCCAAGAUCCAUGAAGGUGUUCAGACCAUUCAUCUCUGUGCAGAAGACCUAGGACAAGUUAGACAGUCUAAAUUUUGUUCAUAUGGAAUAAAACCUACAGAGGACAGCAAUGUGAC